rnacentral:lncRNA from 10 species
GGGAACCUGACUAGCUGAAUGUUGGAUCUGUUCAUUUUAAGGUGCCUGAAAUAUAUCCAAAUGGAUAUAAAUGUCAACUCAGUUCUGGGCUGGAGAUAUAGAUUUGGAAUGCACCAACAAUGCAGAUGGUAAUCCUGGCAUGCGAGUAGGUGAGAUCAUCCAGGGAGAUGGCCUAUAAUGAGAGCCUACAACAUGUCAGGGCUCAAGCACCUCUUACUGCCUCCUCACUCUGGAACCAAAUGCCUUACUGUCUGCACUGCUCCCCAUUGCCUUCCCUCCCGCCUCACCAGUUGAUCCCUAUACCUCCUUCCCAAUGACCUCCAGGAGGCCUCUAACUUACAGGUGAGGCAGGCAUUUUUCUAUUCCCUUAACAUGACCAGUUGGUG